GGUGGCUCAGUGGUAGAAUUCUCACCUUUCAGGUGGGAGACCUGGGUUCAAUUCCCGGCC
rnacentral:tRNA from 1 species